rnacentral:rRNA from 1 species
AAUACGUUCCCGGGCCUUGUACACACCGCCCGUCACACCACGAAACGUCGGCAACACCCGAAGCCGGUGCCUAACCGUAAGGGGAGGAGCCGUCGAAAGGUGGGGUCGGUCGGAUUGGGUAG